UACGUAGGGUGCGAGCGUUUGUCCGGAAUUAUUGGGCGUAAAGAGCUUGUAGGCGGUUUGUCGCGUCUGCCGUGAAAAUCCGGGGCUCAACCCCGGACUUGCGGUGGGUACGGGCAGACUAGAGUGUGGUAGGGGAGACUGGAAUUCCUGGUGUAGCGGUGAAAUGCGCAGAUAUCAGGAGGAACACCGAUGGCGAAGGCAGGUCUCUGGGCCACUACUGACGCUGAGAAGCGAAAGCAUGGGGAGCGAACAGG
rnacentral:rRNA from 1 species